UACGGGGGGAGCAAGCGUUGUUCGGAUUUACUGGGCGUAAAGGGCGCGUAGGCGGCCAGCGCAAGUCAGUUGUGAAAUCUCCGGGCUUAACUCGGAAAGGUCAACUGAUACUGCGCGGCUAGAGUGCGGAAGGGGCAACUGGAAUUCUCGGUGUAGCGGUGAAAUGCGUAGAUAUCGAGAGGAACACCUGCGGCGAAGGCGGCUUUCUGGACAGAAACUGACGCUGAGGCACGAAAGCUAGGGGAGCAAACAGG
rnacentral:rRNA from 1 species